CAUGGGAAAUUAAUGUGCUCUUUGAAGCUCGAGCGUUCACUCUCCAAACAUUAAACAUGCUUUUAGGGCUAUCAAACCUCUUGUAAUUGUUUUGGGGAUCCGGAACUACCUGCAAUACGCCCCAGUUGUUACUCGGACCAUAUGCAGUGAGGGACCGAUGCUACACAACUCGCAUGAGUGAUGCAAUGUUUUUAUUUUAAUGUUAAUUAUUUUUUGUGUUCUAAUUUAUUCAAGAAGAAAACUGGUUUGGUAAAAACAAUACAGCAUUCAGAAGACCGUUUUGGAGUAACCUGUUGACGUGUUCAUUAUAAUCUUGCGAGAGAUUCGCAUCAACUGAAGUGUGGGGCACCCUGAUGCUUCCUUUCCACAACAACAGAUAUCACCAAGGCAUAAAGGCAUGUGUUAUUGGACCUCUAGCUUGUCUGUUUACCUGCACUCGUACCAUGGCCAAGAGCAAGUUUGAAUAUGUGAGGAACUUUGAAGCCGAUGACACCUGUCUGAGAAACUGCUACAUAGUUGUGCGUCUGGAUGGGCGCAACUUCCACAAGUUUGCAGAGCAGCACAAGUUUACCAAGCCGAAUGACAACAGGGCUCUGGGACUGAUGGCCCGCAGUGCUCGUUCGGUCAUGGAGGAACUAGAUGAUAUUAUUAUUGCAUAUGGACAAAGUGAUGAGUUCAGUUUUGUUUUCAAGAGAACCUCUACCUGGUUCAAGAGGAGAUCCAGCAAGCUUAUGACCCACGUGGCCUCGCAGUUCUCAUCAUCUUAUGUUUUUUACUGGAAAGAUUUUUUUGGGGAGCAUCCACUCCUCUACCCACCGGGAUUUGAUGGCCGUGUGGUGCUGUAUCCCAGCAACCGCAACCUUAAAGACUACCUCAGCUGGAGGCAAGCAGACUGUCACGUAAAUAAUUUGUACAACACAGUGUUUUGGACUCUAGUGCAGAAAAGUGGGCUGACCACAAUCCAGGCGGAGGAUCGCCUCAAAGGAACGUUAGCUGCCGACAAAAAUGAGAUCUUGUUCUCAGAGUUUGAUAUCAACUACAACAAUGAACCUGCCAUCCAUAGGAAAGGCACCACACUCAUCUGGGAAAAGCGAGACGAAACCGUGAUCAAACAAAUGAGUUUAGCAAAUAAUAAGAAGAAGGACGUGCUUGUGACUCGGAGCAGGAAGAGUGUGCAGUCCUACGUCUGUGACAUCAUAGGAGAACAGUUUUGGGAACAACACCCUGAUGUUCUGGAGGAUGAUGACUGCUAGCGCAAACUUCUAAUGAACUGAUAACUACAAUAAUGGACCCAUAUCAGCCAAUAAACACACAUUACCAAUAAUAAACUUAAAUAAAUGACUUCUUAGUUUGUCAGAUUAAGGCAACACAUUUUUUAUUAUGGUAUGCAAGCAUAUAUAGCACAGGUGUCAACCUCAAGGCCCGGGGACCAGAUCUUGCCCACCCCAAAGGCCUAGAAAUAAUACCCUGCAAUAAAGUUCAAACAAACCUGCUGAAGACCCGAAGUCCUACAAGCCCAUCUCACUUCUUUGUGUUCCAUUUAAUAUCUUGGAGAGAAUGAUCCAUAGCCGCAUCGAGCCAGUAGUGGAUCCACAACUCCCACAAGAACAGUCCGGUUUACGUCGUGAAUGGUCAGUAUUUGACCAGGUGACACUGUUUUCUCAAGAUGUUGAGGACAGCUUCCAAGAAAAAGAGAAGGCUGGAGUAGUGUUGAUGUAUGUUACAGCUGCCUAUGCCACUGUUAACUCCACCUAAAGCUACUAAAGACCAUCCCAGACCGGCAUAUGUUGAAGUUCUUCAUGGAAAUGCUGACGAAUCGCAGCUUUACCCUACAAACCAGUGAUGGACAACGCAGCAGGCUCAGGAGGCUGAAGAAUAGCCUUCCGCAGGAAUCUGUCCUCGCGCCUAUGUUUUUCAACAUAUACACACAUAUAUGAUCCACAGGAGACAGCAUCCCGAAAAUAUGGCUACGCUGAUGACCUGGCCGUCAUAAUGCGUCGACCAACACGGGAGGCGAUGGAAGAUAGCCUAAACCAGGACAUGGGUAUCCUGGCAGCCUACCUGCGCCUACAGCUCUGCAUUGGCAUGACCGUGUCAGCAGCCUACCACAACAACAGCCAAGCAAAAAGGGAACUGGAUGUAUUUGUUGACAACAAAUACCUGGAGCUCCAACAAGCCCCACUGCACCUUGGUGUACGCCUGGAUAGGUCACUCUCCUUCAGACAACACCUUGAAGAAGUGACUGCCAAAGUGUCAUCGAGGGCCGGCACUGCUCCGAAAUCUCCACGCAAGCCGUGGUCUUCUCUGCAGCUGAAUACUGUGCAUCAGCCUGGUACAAAAGCCCGCAUGGCAGGAAGGUUGACUUGGCUGCCUGAAACCCACCCCCGUGUUCCACCUGCCAGUACUAGCAGGAAUUGCCCCGGCUGUCCUCCGACGAGAGGCUGCUACCCUCGCCCUCAGAAGGAAAGCCCAGAGACAUGACUGGCAUAUCCUGCACAACACCACCAUGAAAGUGCUGCCUUUAAAAAGACUGAAGUCCCGCCAUACAUACAACAAGAGCUGCUCAGGUCCAUCCCUGAAGACCUGUCUACAAAGCAAGGCUGGAAGCAGGAGUCCGCCAUGCCCACUAUUACACCCAGGACCCGGUAGACGGCAUUAAAGGAGAGGAAGUGCCACACCGGCAAUGGAAUGAUGAACCGCAUGCAAAUUGUGGUCGGCUGCUUUACAUCAUCUUUGAGAAACCACCUUCGGAGGUCGGUCUCUUCGAUGAGGGACCUGAGAAGAGGCGUGGCUAUAUGCUACUGAGCUGGACAUCUGAUGAUGACACACGGAAGAAGAAGAA